rnacentral:rRNA from 1 species
CAGCAGUAGGGAAUCUUCCACAAUGGGCGCAAGCCUGAUGGAGCAACACCGCGUGAGUGAAGAAGGGUUUCGGCUCGUAAAGCUCUGUUGUUAAAGAAGAACACGUAUGAGAGUAACUGUUCAUACGUUGACGGUAUUUAACCAGAAAGUCACGGCUAACUACGUGCCAG